AUACCUUUCUCGGUCUUUUAACUAAGAUAAAGUGUAAUAUUUGCUAUUAUUCGUUUAAUCUCUGAUAUAUGGACUAUAUGGUCCUUUGAUAUUAAAUUUAUUUUUAUGGGUAUCAAAUGUGAUUGUGCCCCGCUUCUUACCUAACCUCGCUAAUUGAAGGAGAGGGGGGGUCACA
rnacentral:snRNA from 1 species